AUGAUAUCCCCUAACCUAAAUUCAUCUGAUAUAAAUAUUAGUCUAACCCAAGAUCCUAGGGGCUUGUCCCAUCCACCAAAUCCCCUCACCCGCCGCCGCCAGUCCUCUUCCACCUCGGGAUCCCUCCCGAUCCAUUUCACCCAAUCCGAUCGCAGCGGCCACCACUCCUCUCGUUCCCCAUCCGUCCUUCCCGCAGCUCCUCGCAGUCAUCUCCCUCGAGCCCGAGGCCAUGCCUCCUCUGCUCGAUCUCCCCUGCCCAGCGCCUCCUCAACCCUCCUUCUCCUGCCCGAGCCCUGCCUCGUUCCCCUCGUCGCGAGCCAGGGAGAGGAGCUCCCUGCGUUCGCCCACCUCGUGCCGUCCCCGCCGUCUACCACCACAACCAGCAGCUAAGCUACGUCGCCCCCCUUCCCUUCUUGCCGCACCUCCGCUCUCUCUCCCCCUCCUGACCUCGUUUUCCCUUUCAUGGUCCAACAGAGCAGGAGUCCUGCCAUGGCCGUCCGAACCCCGCUGCUGCAUCGCGCUGCCGUCGGGGCCUCAUCUCCACCACCAGACCCGGCCGGCCUUCGUCGCCCUUGCCCGUUCCCGGCCGGAUCCCAUCGGCAGGGCCCCGUCCCCGCUGCCGGCGGCCGCGUCCCGCUCGUCCCGGACCUCCCUUUACUUCGCCAAGCUGUCGUCCCCGGCUGAAUCCACUUCCUCGCGUCGGAUCUCGCCUCCCGCGCCUGUCCUGGACAGGAUCCGCGUCGUCGGAUCUCGCAUGCGUCCGCCGCCGCGUUCGUCUUCAUUCGGGAGCUCGAGUUCGAGCGCUCUACCCCGUCGCUGCUGCCCCAUGCGCCUCCUCUGCCUGGCGCGUUGACCACGUGGCCAGUUACGUCGGCCGCGCGAAGCCUCCUCUGCUCAACCGCGCGUCGCCUGCGCGUUGACCACGCCCUGCCUCGCUUCGAUCUGCCCGCGAGGCCCAGCGCCGUGCCAAGUCCAGUUUCCCGCUGGCCUGCUGCUUCACCGACCUGGGCCAAGGCCCACAAGUAGGGCCAGCUCGAACCGUGUGCACCAGGAAGAAGGCCAGCCCAAAGUUGAUGAAGGGAGAAAGCCAAUAGGAUGCCCUACAAAUCGAUUUCGAACAAGUUUACUGCAGUACCUGACGGCCUCUCACAGUCUGCAACCAGCCAACCACCUCUACUGGCUGCUGCCACUCCUCAUAUUGGCUAGGAACACGAGCUCUGGGCUCUGGCGGCAGCACAAGGAGCAGGGCAGAGGAGCAGGACCUCGUUAGCGUGCUUCUUGCUGCGCGCCAGUCCUCGGCGCCGGGGGCAAGGGGCGGGGCGGGGUCGGGAUCCUCGAUGCCGCAGGUGGCGCUGGUGCUGGAGGUGACGCUGUUCCCCCGCUCGCUGGCGUAGCCGCUGCUGCUGGGGCUGGGCGGACCGGCGUCGCCGGCCAUCCUCCUCCUCAACGAGCCCCUGGAACUCCACCCCCCGGGCGCGGCCGUCACGUACCCCUCGUCUUCGUCCUCCUCGGCGAUCUCGUGGCCGACGGCGGCGAAGUCUGCGGGCAGGUCAGCGUGUAUCUUGGAAUCGUUCCGAUGGUUUUGUGACGAGAACAAUGUUCUUGGUGCCUCCUGACAUUUAGGGGUUGUGGCAGUGUCCCGGGGAGUUGAGCUCCGAGGUGUUGUCGUCAUAAUUUUAUCGUUGCAGUUCUGGAAUACCUGAGUUUCGCCGACAUUGAAAAUCUCUUUUAUGCAGUUGUUGGUGAGAUCACCUCGAUGCCACCCAGUACUGGGGCGGGAGUUCGGGAGUAUUGCCAUAACUCGUAUAACAGAUGCUUUUUGAAGGUUGAGGUAAAUGAUUUCCGAAGGUUUUCUUGGUUAUGUGUUGAAGGAUGGAUACAGCUGGAUCUAGGUAUUGUUAGUUUGGGUGAUAUAUUUUGUGUCCCCUGUAUCCCCAACACCUGAUUGCAUAACCAGAAAGUUUUGGGAGUUUAUAAGUGGGAAUUCAAGUAGCUCCUAGGAUAUCUUUCCGACAGAUGCAUGAUAUUGUUGGGUUACAUAGUAAUUUCAAAAAAAAUUCUACGCACACGCAAGAUCAUGGUGAUGCAUAGCAACAAGAGGGGAGAGUGUUGUCCACGUACCCUCGUAGACUGACAGCGGAAGCGUUAUCACAAUGCGGUUGAUGUAGUCGUACGUCUUCACGAUCCGGCCGAUCAAGUACCGAACGCACGACACC
rnacentral:rRNA from 1 species